rnacentral:rRNA from 1 species
GUCUACAGCCAUGCCAUCCUGAAAAAGCCCAAUCCCGUCUGAUCUCGGAAGCAGGGUCAGGCCUGGUUACCAGUACUUGGAUGGGAGACCACCUAGGAAGACCAGGUGCUGCAGGCG